GCAUAGGUAGCUUAAAUGUUAAAGCAUCAGUCUUGUAAUCUGAAUAAUAAGGAUUGAAAUUCCUUCCAAUGCU
rnacentral:tRNA from 1 species